GGCCUGGCUGGACGGUCCGCCCUCUGGGUGAGCACUGUCUGUGGUCGGGUCCUACCUUCUGGCGAAGCGGCAUGGCCUUAACCGGCCGUGGCGGGGAACCAGGACUUUUACUGUGAAAAAAUUAGAGUGUUCAAAGCAGGCACGCGCUUGAAUACAUUAGCAUGGAAUAAUGGAAUAGGACAAUGGUUCUAUUUGUUGGUUUCUAGGACCGUUGUA
rnacentral:rRNA from 1 species